rnacentral:rRNA from 1 species
GAUGAGGAGCUUGCUCCUCUGACGUUAGCGGCGGACGGGUGAGUAACACGUGGAUAACCUACCUAUAAGACUGGGAUAACUUCGGGAAACCGGAGCUAAUACCGGAUAAUAUAUUGAACCGCAUGGUUCAAUAGUGAAAGACGGUUUUGCUGUCACUUAUAGAUGGAUCCGCGCCGCAUUAGCUAGUUGGUAAGGUAACGGCUUACCAAGGCAACGAUGCGUAGCCGACCUGAGAGGGUGAUCGGCCACACUGGAACUGAGACACGGUCCAGACUCCUACGGGAGGCAGCAGUAGGGAAUCUUCCGCAAUGGGCGAAAGCCUGACGGAGCAACGCCGCGUGAGUGAUGAAGGUCUUCGGAUCGUAAAGCUCUGUUAUUAGGGAAGAACAAAUGUGUAAGUAACUAUGCACGUCUUGACGGUACCUAAUCAGAAAGCCACGGCUAACUACGUGCCAGCAGCCGCGGUAAUACGUAGGUGGCAAGCGUUAUCCGGAAUUAUUGGGCGUAAAGCGCGCGUAGGCGGUUUUUUAAGUCUGAUGUGAAAGCCCACGGCUCAACCGUGGAGGGCCAUUGGAAACUGGAAAACUUGAGUGCAGAAGAGGAAAGUGGAAUUCCAUGUGUAGCGGUGAAAUGCGCAGAGAUAUGGAGGAACACCAGUGGCGAAGGCGACUUUCUGGUCUGUAACUGACGCUGAUGUG